rnacentral:lncRNA from 1 species
GAAGCAGGGUCGAUAAAGAAAACAGCACUCUCAAGAAAAAAUGGUUUACUGCACAAAACAAACAUGUUAAUGUUAUACAUUAAUAUCAUUUGGUAGAGAUAUAAUUCUUAGCUAGCUGCUACACCAAUUUGAAGUGCUGACAAUUGACAUUGAGGGUGAAGGCCUGCGUCUAUUCAUGUAAUUGGAAAAAAGCCAACUGAUACAAUAGGGAAAAAACCUAACUGAUACAAUACUACAUCAAUUACAUGCACAAUCAGCAUCUCAACACAGAAAAAAGUAAAAAUUUCGGAAAAAGACUUAGAUCUGAAAA